AGAGUUUGAUCCUGGCUCAGAUUGAACGCUGGCGGAAUGCCUUACACAUGCAAGUCGAACGGCAGCACGGGAGCUUGCUCCUGGUGGCGAGUGGCGAACGGGUGAGUAAUGCGUCGGAACGUACCGAGUAACGGGGGAUAACGCACCGAAAGGUGUGCUAAUACCGCAUACGCCCUGAGGGGGAAAGUGGGGGACCGCAAGGCCUCACGUUAUUCGAGCGGCCGACGUCUGAUUAGCUAGUUGGUGGGGUAAAGGCCUACCAAGGCGACGAUCAGUAGCGGGUCUGAGAGGAUGAUCCGCCACACUGGGACUGAGACACGGCCCAGACUCCUACGGGAGGCAGCAGUGGGGAAUUUUGGACAAUGGGCGAAAGCCUGAUCCAGCCAUUCCGCGUGAGUGAAAAAGGCCUUCGGGUAGUAAACCUCUUUUCAACUGAUAUGAAAAACGGUACGCUCUAACAUAGCGUGCUAAUGACGGUACCGGCAGAAGAAGCACCGGCUAACUACGUGCCAGCAGCCGCGGUAAUACGUAGGGUGCGAGCGUUAAUCGGAAUUACUGGGCGUAAAGCGUGCGCAGGCGGAUUGUUAAGCAAGAUGUGAAAUCCCCGGGCUUAACCUGGGAAUGGCAUUUUGAACUGGCAGUCUAGAGUGCGUCAGAGGGGGGUGGAAUUCCACGUGUAGCAGUGAAAUGCGUAGAGAUGUGGAGGAACACCAAUGGCGAAGGCAGCCCCCUGGGAUGACACUGACGCUCAUGUACGAAAGCGUGGGUAGCAAACAGGAUUAGAUACCCUGGUAGUCCACGCCCUAAACGAUGUCAACUGGUUGUUGGGGGAGUGAAAUCCCUUAGUAACGAAGCUAACGCGUGAAGUUGACCGCCUGGGGAGUACGGUCGCAAGAUUAAAACUCAAAGGAAUUGACGGGGACCCGCACAAGCGGUGGAUGAUGUGGAUUAAUUCGAUGCAACGCGAAAAACCUUACCUACCCUUGACAUGUCCGGAAUCCUGCAGAGAUGCGGGAGUGCCCGAAAGGGAAUCGGAACACAGGUGCUGCAUGGCUGUCGUCAGCUCGUGUCGUGAGAUGUUGGGUUAAGUCCCGCAACGAGCGCAACCCUUAUCAUUAGUUGCUACGCAAGGGCACUCUAAUGAGACUGCCGGUGACAAACCGGAGGAAGGUGGGGAUGACGUCAAGUCCUCAUGGCCCUUAUGGGUAGGGCUUCACACGUCAUACAAUGGUCGGUACAGAGGGUUGCCAAGCCGCGAGGUGGAGCCAAUCCCAGAAAGCCGAUCGUAGUCCGGAUUGUUCUCUGCAACUCGAGAGCAUGAAGUCGGAAUCGCUAGUAAUCGCGGAUCAGCAUGUCGCGGUGAAUACGUUCCCGGGUCUUGUACACACCGCCCGUCACACCAUGGGAGUGGAAUCUGGCAGAAGUAGGUAGCCUAACCGCAAGGAGGGCGCUUACCACGCUGGGUUUCAUGACUGGGGUGAAGUCGUAACAAGGUAACC
rnacentral:rRNA from 1 species